rnacentral:rRNA from 1 species
UACGAAGGGGGCUAGCGUUGCUCGGAAUCACUGGGCGUAAAGGGUGCGUAGGCGGGUCUUUAAGGUCAGGGUGAAAUCCCGAGAGCUCAACUCUGGAACUGCCUUUGAUACUGGGUAUCUUGAGUAUGGAAGAGGUAAGUGGAAUUGCGAGUGUAGAGGUGAAAUUCGUAGAUAUUGGGAGGAAGACCAGUGGCGAAGGCGGCUCACUGGACCGGAACUGACGCUGAGGCGCGGAAAGCGUGGGGAGCAAACGGGG